GAUGAACGCUGGCGGCGUGCCUAAUACAUGCAAGUCGAGCGAACGGACGAGAAGCUUGCUCCUCUGAUGUUAGCGGCGGACGGGUGAGUAACACGUGGAUAACCUACCUAUAAGACUGGGAUAACUUCGGGAAACCGCGGCUAAUACUGGCUAAUAUUUUGAACCGCAUGGUUCAAAAGUGAAAGACGGUCUUGCUGUCACUUAUAGAUGGAUCCGCGCUGCAUUAGCUAGUUGGUAAGGUAACGGCUUACCAAGGCAACGAUGCAUAGCCGACCUGAGAGGGUGAUCGGCCACACUGGAACUGAGACACGGUCCAGACUCCUACGGGAGGCAGCAGUAGGGAAUCUUCCGCAAUGGGCGAAAGCCUGACGGAGCAACGCCGCGUGAGUGAUGAAGGUCUUCGGAUCGUAAAACUCUGUUAUUAGGGAAGAACAUAUGUGUAAGUAACUGUGCACAUCUUGACGGUACCUAAUCAGAAAGCCACGGCUAACUACGUG
rnacentral:rRNA from 1 species